rnacentral:rRNA from 1 species
UACGUAGGGUGCAAGCGUUGUCCGGAAUUAUUGGGCGUAAAGAGCUCGUAGGCGGUUUGUCGCGUCGGCUGUGAAAACCUGGGGCUCAACCCCGGGCCUGCAGCCGAUACGGGCAAGCUAGAAUUCGGUAGGGGAGACUGGAAUUCCUGGUGUAGCGGUGAAAUGCGCAGAUAUCAGGAGGAACACCGGUGGCGAAGGCGGGUCUCUGGACCGAUAUUGACGCUGAGGAGCGAAAGCGUGGGGAGCAAACAGG